rnacentral:rRNA from 1 species
GACGAACGCUGGCGGCGUGCCUAAUACAUGCAAGUCGAGCGAAGUUUUUCUGGUGCUUGCACUAGAAAAACUUAGCGGCGAACGGGUGAGUAACACGUAAAGAACCUGCCUCAUAGACUGGGACAACUAUUGGAAACGAUAGCUAAUACCGGAUAACAGUAUUUCUCGCAUGAGAGAUAUUUAAAAGUUGGUUAUGCUAACACUAUGAGAUGGCUUUGCGGUGCAUUAGCUAGUUGGUGGGUAAAGGCCCACCAAGGCGACGAUGCAUAGCCGACCUGAGAGGGUGAUCGGCCACACUGGGACUGAGACACGGCCCAGACUCCUACGGGAGGCAGCAGUAGGGAAUCUUCCGCAAUGGGCGAAAGCCUGACGGAGCAACGCCGCGUGAGUGAAGAAGGAUUUCGGUUCGUAAAGCUCUGUUGUUAGGGAAGAAUGGAUAUGUAGUAACUAUACAUGUAAGAGACGGUACCUAACCAGAAAGCCACGGCUAACUACGUG